AAAUUGAAGAGUUUGAUCAUGGCUCAGAUUGAACGCUGGCGGCAGGCCUAACACAUGCAAGUCGAACGGUAACAGAAAGCAGCUUGCUGCUUUGCUGACGAGUGGCGGACGGGUGAGUAAUGUCUGGGAAACUGCCUGAUGGAGGGGGAUAACUACUGGAAACGGUGGCUAAUACCGCAU
rnacentral:rRNA from 1 species